rnacentral:rRNA from 1 species
AAGUGGCUGAGCCAACCCGCAAGGGAGGCAGGCCCCCAAGGAGUGGCUGGUAACUGGGGUGAAGUCGUAACAAGGUAGCCGUAGGGGAACCUGCGGCUGGAUCACCUCCUUU